GACCGCGUAGCUCAGUUGCAGAGCAUUGGGCUAGUAUUCCAAAGGUCGUAGGUUCGAAUCCCACCGUGGCCG
rnacentral:tRNA from 1 species